UACUCCUACGGGAGGCAGCAGUAGGGAAUCCUCCGCAAUGGGCGAAAGCCUGACGGAGCAACGCCGCGUGAGUGAUGAAGGUCUUCGGAUCGUAAAACUCUGUUAUUAGGGAAGAACAUAUGUGUAAGUAACUGUGCACAUCUUGACGGUACCUAAUCAGAAAGCCACGGCUAACUACGUGCCAGCAGCCGCGGUAAUACGUAGGUGGCAAGCGUUAUCCGGAAUUAUUGGGCGUAAAGCGCGCGUAGGCGGUUUUUUAAGUCUGAUGUGAAAGCCCACGGCUCAACCGUGGAGGGUCAUUGGAAACUGGAAAACUUGAGUGCAGAAGAGGAAAGUGGAAUUCCAUGUGUAGCGGUGAAAUGCGCAGAGAUAUGGAGGAACACCAGUGGCGAAGGCGACUUUCUGGUCUGUAACUGACGCUGAUGUGCGAAAGCGUGGGGAUCAAACAGGAUUAGAUACCCUGGUAGUCCACGCCGUAAACGAUGAGUGCUAAGUGUUAGGGGGUUUCCGCCCCUUAGUGCUGCAGCUAACGCAUUAAGCACUCCGCCUGGGGAGUACGACCGCAAGGUUGAAACUCAAAGGAAUUGACGGA
rnacentral:rRNA from 1 species